CACAUGCUGUAACCGCUCCGAUCGGGUAUAUCAAGUGUAAUUCCUCCGGGGGUUGCCACCUAGACUAGGCGAGUCUGAGACAUGAG
rfam:Paenibacillus sp. FSL R5-0912, complete genome.